CAUAGAACAGCUAGACCUCACCGAUAGGCCUAAAGAAGGCUUAAACCAUCGUCUGGGUUGUGGUAUGCCUAAUGUCUACUCACAGUGCUUUUCAUAAACAAUUGCUUUUUGAUGAUUUACUAAAUGCCAAUUGUAUUUGUUGUGGGGCUGUGGGAGGCAGUCCCAAAAUGCUCUCUACUGAUUGUUUAACUAAGUUAUAAUCUAAAAAAUAUAGUUCAAAACAGAGCAAAUUUCUUCACAGCAAUACAAAAG